rnacentral:rRNA from 1 species
UACAGAGGUCCCGAGCGUUGUUCGGAUUUACUGGGCGUAAAGGGUGCGUAGGUGGUCGGGUAAGUCUCAUGUGAAAUCCCGCAGCUUAACUGCAGAACGGCAUGGGAUACUAUUCGGCUCGAGGAUUGGAGGGGGGACUGGAAUUCCCGGUGUAGCAGUGAAAUGCGUAGAUAUCGGGAGGAACACCAGUGGCGAAGGCGAGUCCCUGGACAAUUCCUGACGCUGAGGCACGAAAGCCAGGGGAGCAAACAGG